UCCAAGGAGAUGGUGACUAAACAUGCCACUCUCUAUGCACAGGCCCACUGGUUCCCUUGUGCCUCUGCAAAACAACCAUCCUGUAACAGAAGCUACUGCUGUGUUUUCACCUGUGAAAAUGCUUAGGACUCCACAGAACUUAGAUUUAUGUGACCCUCCUCAAAUCUACAGCAGGGGAAUGGAGACAAAGAGGAGAAACAAGCUCCUGAUGACCCAGUUCAUAGACAGAGCUAGUCUAGAGAAUGAAGACCUUCUCAGAGCACACACCUGGGGCUUAGCCACACCCACACCAGAUGACAUAUCAAUCUGACCGCCGUGUGGGACUAUCAGCCUGGAGGUGCCAUGUUUUUGAUGAUAGAGAUCAUUGCAGAAAACCAGAACCAAUCAAAAUGCAUACUUGUGGAGCCCAGUCCCAAAGAUAUAGUCCUGCACCUAAGGCUUGGGGAUUACUGCUGAAGAGGGCAAGAAAGGCUGUAAGACGUGAUCAGGGAUUUUGCUGUGAGAUUGUCAGAAUGUCAGAAGCUAGUCUCCACGACUGCCUGAACAUGAACUGAACAAGGAAGAUACCAACAGACAUGGCAAAAUAGACGGGAGGAAGGAGAAGACCUCAACCCCACAAAGAGCUACAGGCAUCUAAGGAACUAAGGAAUGAUGAGAAUAAGACAAAUGCAGUCUUGCCCAGGGAAGACCACAUCAACUGGUUAUCCAAAACCAAAUAGUCAUCCCUAAAAAUUAAUAUACAAGUAACAUUAUACAAACUGA